CCUUUUCCCUUAUGGAGGGGAAGGUGUGUCUGUGGAACUUUCACAGCCUAAAGGGCUGAUUGGGCUCAGCUGAGGGCCUGCAGCUAGCCUGACCUGGAGCCUAGCUUUAGGAGGGAUGCUGGGGGGAUGCCUGAUCUGAGGCAAGUGCUAAUAAGAGUUUAAAAUACAGCCAAGUUCCAGGAGAGGAAGCUGCCUUAAGGAGGGAUAAUGUAACUACCUGAAGCAUGAGUUGGCUGCCAGAAAGGCCAUGAGUGGACUUGAGGAAUCUCCUCAGUAGCCAGCUGGGAUGAAGCCAGAUGGGGAGACCAAACUACAGAACAGGAAUAGUGUAAUCUCCAGCCCAGGGAAAUGGAAGGAGCAGUUUGCUGCCUAAUGCAGGGUCCCUGGGCUGAAACUCAGACUAGAGGGUGGGCCUGGGUUCCCUUACCUCUCUGCCAGCAAGAGGGGGGACUACAAGCCUCUAGACUAGAGGUGGGAAAACUAUGGCCUGUAGGACUGUCCUGCCCUGCCCCUGAGCUCCUGGCUGGGGAACCUAGUCCCUGUCCCCUCCUCUGCCUUCCCCUCUUCCCCCAUUGCCAUGUUGCUGCAUGGGUUGUGCUCUGGCCUGCUGCUCCUGCUGGGCAGUGUGGGGAGCGCAGCUGGCUCUGGUUGGGUGUUGUGGCUGUAGGCUCCUGCUGCUGGCACGUUCCAAUGUCUGAAACAAAUGGAGCAGAAGCCUUAGAGAACAACAUUUUUCUCUACACAACCCUGACUCAUCCCAAGAGCCAGUCCAUCCUGUGCACUGAAUGAAUUUCCUCAUCUUUAAAAUGCGGCUGAUGAUGUGUCGUGCCCUCCCAGGGGUGUUGUGAAGAUUACAAUGAAUGUGCAUAGAGCAUUCUGAAGAAUGAACUGGCUUACAGGAUUUCUCCUGCUUUGUUGGCAGUCUAGUCCCAAGUAUGCUGUCUCAACUUGUUGUGCAUCUUGUGAAAACUGUAUGGAUACAAAAUCCUGGGCAGAAAUGGAGAAGACAUUGGAGAGAAACGUGUGUUGGUUUGUAGACUCUUCUGGGAGCUAGCAUUUGAUGUCAGCACUGCUCCAUGCUGGGCUGCUCCUAGCUAAUUAUGCUUCCUACAGUUAUCCAUCUUUGCUACAAAGAUCGUGGGACAAAGGCGAUAGAAUAGCUUAUGCUUCAUAAGAGAGCAUUAGUGUGAUGCUAAAUACAGUCUACUGAUGAAAAUCCACUUUUAAUAACAUCACUGAGUUCCCUGCUGCUUUGCAUUUUAGCAUAGAUAUUAAUAAUUGUUUAUGAAAUUCUUGAACAGAUACUAACAGCAGGAAAUGCACCUGCAUUAUUUAAAGGCUGUUAAAUAAGCAGAUUUUAUUUACCAAAAUACCACAGUACU